AAGAGUAACAAACAAACCUAAAAUAUAACAUGACAUCAAUGCGUUAUUAAAAUAAGUUUAGAAAAUGCUCUAAUACCUAAGUUUCUGAUAAGGUAGGUACAUUUGUCAUGAUUGUUGCCACUGUGUGUUUAAUUGAAUGGAUUAAUUAAUAUUUUUAUUGAAUUAAUUUCCCUGUCUUCUCGAAAAAGUUAAAUGAAUAAACGAGGCUGACUCAUUGCCUAAUGCUCACAGCAUAAGUCAUGUAUCAAUACAAUUAAACCAGAAUUAUUUGCACUGGGAGUACAUUAUAAUUACAAAGUACCUAUAGGUGUACGCAUCGACAUAGCUUGACAACUCUAAAGUUAGCUAUAUGACUAUGUACUUAAUAUUUUAUUAAUAACACUAUUUACUGCGCCGCAAAGCUUACAUAACAUUGCACGACCUGGUAUAUAAAUAUAUGGAUUACCUAACUGCAAUAACUAAUUUCCUCUUACCCGUCGACCAUACACGUAUUCAUUAUGAAGCUACUGCUAAUUACAAUUAUUUUCGUAUCAAUAUUAGCCACAAUAUGGUCGGCAAAAGUACCGCGAGUGAAACAAUUGAUAGAUCAAAAGCCACAUUUGAGGUUCAAAAGGCAGUGGUUUGUUGGAAAAAUGAAAUGUCGGUGCCCAGAAAACAUGCUUUUUCUAAGAACGCAGUGCAUAACUUGUGAACAAUACAAAAAGGCUACGGAGGCAGACUCGUGCCCGAUUUGCGAAUAAAAACAUUAUGACGAAGAAGGAAAAUACUAUAUUUUGCGUUAUGGCAAAUGCUCAUUAUUUGCAUAACAUAGAAUUUAUUUAUGCGCGUUUAUAAGCCCAAAAACUAAAAAUUUGUAGCUCUCAGUCAUCUCAUUUUUAGGAUGAUGAUUUGAUGAAUGCUGUUGUAAUAAAAACCAUAUUUCAAUAAAGCUAUAUUUUUCGUUUA